AUUGAACGCUGGCGGCAGGCCUAACACAUGCCAGUCGAGCGGAUGAAGGGAGCUUGCUCCUGGAUUCAGCGGCGGACGGGUGAGUAAUGCCUAGGAAUCUGCCUGGUAGUGGGGGAUAACGUCCGGAAACGGGCGCUAAUACCGCAUACGUCCUGAGGGAGAAAGUGGGGGAUCUUCGGACCUCACGCUAUCAGAUGAGCCUAGGUCGGAUUAGCUAGUUGGUGGGGUAAAGGCCUACCAAGGCGACGAUCCGUAACUGGUCUGAGAGGAUGAUCAGUCACACUGGAACUGAGACACGGUCCAGACUCCUACGGGAGGCAGCAGUGGGGAAUAUUGGACAAUGGGCGAAAGCCUGAUCCAGCCAUGCCGCGUGUGUGAAGAAGGUCUUCGGAUUGAAAAGCACUUUAAGUUGGGAGGAAGGGCAGUAAGUUAAUACCUUGCUGUUUUGACGUUACCAACAGAAUAAGCACCGGCUAACUUCGUG
rnacentral:rRNA from 1 species